GGUACGGUAGUGACCAAGAACACAAGAAGCGGUCACACUUAUUAAUCGUCUGUCUCUGACCGAACAUAUCGAUAGCAGGAGUACUCGGUUGCAACGGGAGAAAGAGGGACAACGGCCAGCGACAGUCGCCGCCAGAGUAUCGGAGACGCGCCAUUGCAAGAAGGCAAGGUAAAGCGCAGGAAGCGAUAGGCGGCGACCAACUCAACCAAUACUACCAUACACAAGGGGGUAAAGACAAUCUGGAGCAAGGAAGGGCUGAGAAAGAGAUUGUCGAUACGUGCUGUAGAACUUGGACAAGAAGCAUCUCGUGGACCGGUGGUGCAGGCAGCGAAGACGCAGAGACAAGACAUUGGAUCUGGUUGCGUCAUCGGUGGAUGUGUGCAGGAACGUAUAGGCCAAGGGCUGGUGCACGAAUUUUGGCAGACCAGGUGCUAAUAGGUGCUCCUCAUUCAAGGAACACCUGUUUGUCAGUCGUUUGCCAAACGUUGCCGAAAGAGGUUGUGUAGCUCACGAUUUUUUCAUUGUCUUCUUAUUUUACUUCAUUGUUUACGAAGACAAUGAAAUAUGCAUGCAACUACUAUUCUAUUUUGGAUGUGUAAUGAAAUGUGUAUGUAAUAGAAUCUAUAUUCAGUUAAA